rnacentral:rRNA from 1 species
UACGGAGGGAGCUAGCGUUGUUCGGAAUUACUGGGCGUAAAGCGCACGUAGGCGGCGAUUUAAGUCAGGGGUGAAAGCCCAGUGCUCAACACUGGAACUGCCCUUGAGACUGGAUUGCUAGAAUCUUGGAGAGGCGGGUGGAAUUCCGAGUGUAGAGGUGAAAUUCGUAGAUAUUCGGAAGAACACCAGUGGCGAAGGCGGCCCGCUGGACAAGUAUUGACGCUGAGGUGACGAAAGCGUGGGGAGCAAACAGG